rnacentral:rRNA from 1 species
UACGGGGGGGGCAAGCGUUGUUCGGAAUUACUGGGCGUAAAGGGCUCGUAGGUGGCCAACUAAGUCAGACGUGAAAUCCCUCGGCUUAACCGGGGAACUGCGUCUGAUACUGGAUGGCUUGAGUUUGGGAGAGGGAUGCGGAAUUCCAGGUGUAGCGGUGAAAUGCGUAGAUAUCUGGAGGAACACCGGUGGCGAAGGCGGCAUCCUGGGCCAACACUGACGCUGAGUGAGCGAAAGCCAGGGGAGCAAACGGG